GGCCGAUGUGGCACAGUGGUAGUGCGACUGCCUGAGAUGCAGAAGGUUCCAAGUUCGAUUCUCGGUGGGUCA